rnacentral:rRNA from 1 species
CCUACGGGAGGCAGCAGUGGGGAAUAUUGCACAAUGGGGGAAACCCUGAUGCAGCGACGCCGCGUGAGGGAAGAAGGAAUUCGGUAUGUAAAGCUCUAUCAGCAGGGAAGAAAAUGACGGUACCUGAGUAAGAAGCCCCGGCUAACUACGUGCCAGCAGCCGCGGUAACACGUAGGGGGCAAGCGUUAUCCGGAUUUACGGGGGGUAAAGGGAGCGUAGACGGCAGUGCAAGUCUGGAGUGAAAGGCGGGGGCUCAACCCCCGGACUGCUCUGGAAACUGUACGGCUGGAGUGCAGGAGAGGUAAGUGGAAUUCCUGGUGUAGCGGUGAAAUGCGUAGAUAUUAGGCGGAACACCGGUGGCGAAGGCAGCUUGCUGGACUGUAACUGACGUUGAGGCUCGAAAGCGUGGGGAGCGAACAGGAUUAGAUACCCGGGUAGUC